CCUGCCCAAGAGAUCGGGAUAACACCUGGAAACAGAUGCUAAUACCGGAUAACAACAGAUGAUGCCUAUCAACUGUUUAAAAGAUGGUUCUGCUAUCACUCUUGGAUGGACCUGCGGUGCAUUAGCUAGUUGGUAGGGUAACGGCCUACCAAGGCGAUGAUGCAUAGCCGAGUUGAGAGACUGAUCGGCCACAUUGGGACUGAGACACGGCCCAAACUCCUACGGGAGGCAGCAGAA
rnacentral:rRNA from 1 species